rfam:Gossypium raimondii Chr06_contig_1311, whole genome shotgun sequence.
UGUUAAAAUUUUUAUCCAUUGUUAUUGUUAAAAAUUGGCGUGCCGAAUAGAAUAACCAGAUAAUUACACUUGGCGUGCCACGUGUACCUCAUUCUGAUGUACAUAGACCAAUUUUUAAUAAUAAAAAUGGAUGGAAUUUUUAACA